UACGAAGGGGGCUAGCGUUGUUCGGAAUUACUGGGCGUAAAGCGCACGCAGGCGGCUCGAUAAAUUAGAAGUGAAAGCCCCGGGCUUAACCUGGGAAUUGCUUUCAAGACUGUCGGGCUAGAAUCCAGAAGAGGGUAGUGGAAUUCCGAGUGUAGAGGUGAAAUUCGUAGAUAUUCGGAAGAACACCAGUGGCGAAGGCGACUACCUGGUCUGGCAUUGACGCUCAUGUGCGAAAGCGUGGGGAGCAAACAGG
rnacentral:rRNA from 1 species